GGGACUUGGCAGUGAACAAAGUGUCAUUCCCAAUCAGAGCGUAGUUUAAACCAUGGAGAAGUCGUCCACCAUGCUUUGUAUAGGAGUUUUGUGGCUAUGCUUUGCAAGUGUUACUGGUAACGUAAGUUAUAUGGUCCAUAAUUCUGUAACUUUAGGACACCUUUCUCCAGAACAAAUGGUUAACACAUCUAAAGAAAUGGUUAUAUUCCAAGACGAGCAUAUUUAUGAGAGAUGGUGGACGACAGAAGAUCUUACAUGUCAGGAGGUAGAGAAAGUAUUAGAUCUGAUGAGAGAUAAAAUGGGGAAUGACCUGAACUUGCUUAUGAUUGAUGCAACAAGACAUUUAAGUAAAGCUAAACGUGUUGGAGACCGUAAAAUAAGGAGGUGCAGCGAAGAUAUUACAGACCAAAUUAAAGACGCUGUUGAAGAUGGGGUUUACAGUUUCUUAAGAUGCACUGCAACGUCUUCAAUAGUACAAAAUGACAUCAGAACAGAUAUGAAGAAGAAAAGAUUGAAAUACAAGAAUGCUAUUAACCAUACGCUAAAUAGCAUAGAUGGCUGUUUAGUGUAUAGCAAUAAAAAUGCAGAAACACAUAGAGAUCAGUGCAUCGAAAAAUUAAUCAACGGAACUCAAAUAGAAACUAAAGAAGCCUGUAAAACAUUCACGGAAAGCAAAUGUAUGGCCCAUUUCACUGAUGAUAUUCUGAGCUGUACUUACAAAGUAUUUAAUGAAAUAGCAGAUAAAAGAGAAAAAUUGUUUAAUGAAAUACGAUCUUGCGUUGGAUAUCAUCAAGUU